ACACAUGCAAGUCGAGCGGUAGCAACAGAGAGCUUGCUCUCGGGUGACGAGCGGCGGACGGGUGAGUAAUGUCUGGGAAACUGCCUGAUGGAGGGGGAUAACUACUGGAAACGGUAGCUAAUACCGCAUAACGUCGCAAGACCAAAGUGGGGGACCUUCGGGCCUCAUGCCAUCAGAUGUGCCCAGAUGGGAUUAGCUAGUAGGUGGGGUAACGGCUCACCUAGGCGACGAUCCCUAGCUGGUCUGAGAGGAUGACCAGCCACACUGGAACUGAGACACGGUCCAGACUCCUACGGGAGGCAGCAGUGGGGAAUAUUGCACAAUGGGCGCAAGCCUGAUGCAGCCAUGCCGCGUGUGUGAAGAAGGCCUUCGGGUUGUAAAGCACUUUCAGCGGGGAGGAAGGCGGUGAGGUUAAUAACCUCGUCGAUUGACGUUACCCGCAGAAGAAGCACCGGCUAACUCCGUGCCAGCAGCCGCGGUAAUACGGAGGGUGCAAGCGUUAAUCGGAAUUACUGGGCGUAAAGCGCACGCAGGCGGUCUGUCAAGUCGGAUGUGAAAUCCCCGGGCUCAACCUGGGAACUGCAUUCGAAACUGGCAGGCUAGAGUCUUGUAGAGGGGGGUAGAAUUCCAGGUGUAGCGGUGAAAUGCGUAGAGAUCUGGAGGAAUACCGGUGGCGAAGGCGGCCCCCUGGACAAAGACUGACGCUCAGGUGCGAAAGCGUGGGGAGCAAACAGGAUUAGAUACCCUGGUAGUCCACGCCGUAAACGAUGUCGAUUUGGAGGUUGUGCCCUUGAGGCGUGGCUUCCGGAGCUAACGCGUUAAAUCGACCGCCUGGGGAGUACGGCCGCAAGGUUAAAACUCAAAUGAAUUGACGGGGGCCCGCACAAGCGGUGGAGCAUGUGGUUUAAUUCGAUGCAACGCGAAGAACCUUACCUGGUCUUGACAUCCACAGAACUUUUCAAAGAUGGAUUGGUGCCUUCGGGAACUGUGAGACAGGUGCUGCAUGGCUGUCGUCAGCUCGUGUUGUGAAAUGUUGGGGUUAAGUCCCGCAACGAGCGCAACCCUUAUCCUUUGUUGCCAGCGGUUCGGCCGGGAACUCAAAGGAGACUGCCAGUGAUAAACUUGGAGGAAAGGGGGGGAUAAACCCCAAGUCAUCAUGGGCCCUU
rnacentral:rRNA from 1 species